rnacentral:rRNA from 1 species
UACGGAGGAUGCAAGCGUUAUCCGGAAUGAUUGGGCGUAAAGCGUCCGCAGGUGGCAAUGUAAGUCUGCUGUUAAAGCGCAAAGCUUAACUUUGUAAAAGCAGUGGAAACUAUAUUGCUAGAGUGCGGUAGGGGCAGAGGGAAUUAAGAGAGUAGCGGUGAAAUGCGUAGAUACUCUUAAGAACACCAGUGGCGAAAGCGCUCUGCUGGGCCUGCACUGACACUAAUGGACGAAAGCUAGGGGAGCAAAUGGG